UUUCCUCCCCGGGCGCCGACUCGAAUGGCGACGAAACCCUCGCCUGCCCUUGGCUUGCGCCGCUUCGGGCGAGGAAGAGAUGGUUAAUACGGAGCCUACCGCCACCGGAGAGAAAGAGCCGACCGAUGAGGAGCCUGUCGCCGAUUCCCUUGACCGCGGGCUCCUCUCCGAGGACGUCCAACGAUCUUGAGGCCGCGACCAAGAAUCUUAAGAGGCGGAGAAAGUGUCCGAGAAAGGAGCAAAGGAUGCUGAGGAAGAGCACGCGAGGAGGUCGGCCGCAAAGGAGGCAGAGUUAUAGGCUGGAUGUCAUGGUGGGAUAUAUAUAUAGAAGAAAUGAUGCCCAAGGUCCAGGAGGAGAUUUAUCUCGAGAUAGAUGAUGAGGGAGAUGCCGAGGCAACUUCCCACAAUCUGGGAGCACCACCGGCGAUCGGAUUAGCAUCCAAGGCGGUGACGGCAGUAGUAUUACUUCAUCUCACGUUGCAGAGGAAUGGAUUAGUUCGUCUGUCUUGGCAGUGGAUGCUGCUUCUGUGCCUUCGACAUAGGAUUCCAAUUCCAUGGGAACUUGGUUCUUGAAUGGUUCUUCAAGUAAAUAACAAAAUCGGUGAUUCCAGAGACAUGACUGUCCCGAGUACCUCAUUGGUGACAUUGACUGCAACGGCUCCGUGACAUGGGUAACCUGCCCUCCUAUAGUCUAUUCCUUCAACCUCGCAUUGAUCUAGUCCUGUACCGUGGUCUAAUUUCUUUAGGUAUAUUAGUUAUGUGAUUUGUUAACUGGGUGGCGCUUAUAUCAUGAAGUCUUCGUAGUCUUGGCUAGUUGGCCAAUGAAUUUGGAACAAUUGAGUUUUGAGCAAGCUCAUACAUGAUGCGGACUCAUAAUGAUGACACCUAAUGGCUUGAUGUUGCUUUAAAGUAAUGUGGACAUGGAGUGACCGGACCAAUUAGGAUAAGAGGACUGCAUUUGGGAUAUGGGAUGUGUAGUCUGGAUCUACAAUAUCAAAACACCUCAGCUGUUUGGCAUUUUCUGUGGUUUUUACUGUGAAAGGUUCAUGUGUUAUAAAAAUCCAGGCUUAAGGAAUUAAUUAGCACUCUUUUCAUUUGCAGAACAUUUUACUUUGUGAUUCUUUUUGUAAACUUAUUGUAGCAAUACAGAAGAGUUCAAAGGAGCGAAGA